GUAGGUGAACCUGCGGAAGGAUCAUUAACACGUAUCCACGUAUCAACCAACUGUGAACUUGUUUUCAACUCUCCCUGCCUAGUACAUGAAUUGAAUUGCAUAAGGUCAUCAUGAGGAAUUCUUUCGAGAGUUCAGCCUUAUAUAAUAACUUGACUUUCGGGUCAGACAAUUGUAGUAUCAGCGUCAGGCAAACCCUUUCUACUAACAACUUCUCUCGUAAUGAAGGAGUUAGUGGGAUCCUUUAACACCUAUUUCACCCCUUUUUUGCUAGUUGACUUUUAUAUGUUGGCUUAUUUGUACUUUAUUGUAUAAGUGAAUCACACGUUUAUUAUUUGAACGUUAAAAUUACAACUCUUAGCAAUGGAUAUCUUGGUUCUC
rnacentral:misc_RNA from 1 species